GAUGAACGCUGGCGGCGUGCCUAAUACAUGCAAGUCGAGCGAACAGACGAGGAGCUUGCUCCUCUGACGUUAGCGGCGGACGGGUGAGUAACACGUGGAUAACCUACCUAUAAGACUGGGAUAACUUCGGGAAACCGGAGCUAAUACCGGAUAAUAUAUUGAACCGCAUGGUUCAAUAGUGAAAGACGGUUUUGCUGGCACGUAUAGAUGGAUCCGCGCCGCAUUAGCUAGUUGGUAAGGUAACGGCUUACCAAGGCAACGAUGCGUAGCCGACCUGAGAGGGUGAUCGGCCACACUGGAACUGAGACACGGUCCAGACUCCUACGGGAGGCAGCAGUAGGGAAUCUUCCGCAAUGGGCGAAAGCCUGACGGAGCAACGCCGCGUGAGUGAUGAAGGUCUUCGGAUCGUAAAACUCUGUUAUUAGGGAAGAACAAAUGUGUAAGUAACUAUGCACGUCUUGACGGUACCUAAUCAGAAAGCCACGGCUAACUACGUG
rnacentral:rRNA from 1 species